rnacentral:rRNA from 1 species
CCUACGGGGGGCAGCAGUGGGGAAUAUUGGACAAUGGGCGAAAGCCUGAUCCAGCCAUGCCGCGUGUGUGAAGAAGGCCUUCGGGUUGUAAAGCACUUUCAGUGGGGAAGAAAGCCUUGGGGCUAAUACCCUCGAGGAAGGACAUCACCCACAGAAGAAGCACCGGCUAACUCCGUGCCAGCAGCCGCGGUAAUACGGAGGGUGCGAGCGUUAAUCGGAAUUACUGGGCGUAAAGCGCGCGUAGGCGGUAGGAUAAGCCGGUUGUGAAAGCCCCGGGCUCAACCUGGGAACGGCAUCCGGAACUGUCAGGCUAGAGUGCAGGAGAGGAAGGUAGAAUUCCCGGUGUAGCGGUGAAAUGCGUAGAGAUCGGGAGGAAUACCAGUGGCGAAGGCGGCCUUCUGGACUGACACUGACGCUGAGGUGCGAAAGCGUGGGUAGCAAACAGGAUUAGAUACCCCUGUAGUC